rnacentral:rRNA from 1 species
AUACGUAGGGGGCGAGCGUUGUCCGGAAUGAUUGGGCGUAAAGGGCGCGUAGGCGGCCCGGUAAGUCUGGAGUGAAAGUCCUGUUUUUAAGAUGGGAAUUGCUUUGGAUACUGUCGGGCUUGAGUGCAGGAGAGGUAAGUGGAAUUCCCAGUGUAGCGGUGAAAUGCGUAGAGAUUGGGAGGAACGCCAGUGGCGAAGGCGACUUACUGGACUGUAACUGACGCUGAGGCGCGAAAGUGUGGGGAGCAAACAGGAUUAGAUACCCUGGUAGUCCACACUGUAAACGAUGAAUGCUAGGUGUAGGGGGUAUCGACCCCUUCUGUGCCGCAGUCAACACAAUAAGCAUUCCGCCUGGGGAGUACGGCCGCAAGGUUGAAACUCAAAUGAAUUGGCGGGG